AUUGAACGCUGGCGGAAUGCUUUACACAUGCAAGUCGAACGGCAGCACGGACUUCGGUCUGGUGGCGAGUGGCGAACGGGUGAGUAAUAUAUCGGAACGUAUCCAAUAAUGGGGGAUAACUAAUCGAAAGGUUGGCUAAUACCGCAUACGUCCUACGGGAGAAAGCUAGGGACCUUCGGGCCUGGCGUUAAUGGAGCGGCCGAUAUCGGAUUAGCUAGUUGGUGAGGGAAAGGCUCACCGAGGCGACGAUCCGUAGCUGGUCUGAGAGGACGACCAGCCACACUGGAACUGAGACACGGUCCAGACUCCUACGGGAGGCAGCAGUGGGGAAUUUUGGACAAUGGGCGAAAGCCUGAUCCAGCCAUUCCGCGUGAGUGAAGAAGGCCUUCGGGUUGUAAAGCUCUUUCGCAAGAGAAGAAAACUUACCCUCUAACAUAGGGUGAGGUUGACGGUAUCUUGAUAAGAAGCACCGGCUAACUACGUGCCAGCCGCCGCCGUAA
rnacentral:rRNA from 1 species